AGCAGUAGCCGCGGUAAUACGAAGGGGGCUAGCGUUGUUCGGAAUUACUGGGCGUAAAGCGCACGUAGGCGGAUAUUUAAGUCAGGGGUGAAAUCCCGCAGCUCAACUGCGGAACUGCCUUUGAUACUGGGUAUCUUGAGUAUGGAAGAGGUUAGUGGAAUUGCGAGUGUAGAGGUGAAAUUCGUAGAUAUUCGCAGGAACACCAGUGGCGAAGGCGGCUAACUGGUCCAUAACUGACGCUGAGGUGCGAAAGCGUGGGGAGCAAACAGGAUUAGAUACCCCAGUAGUCCCUGUCUCUUAUAC
rnacentral:rRNA from 1 species